GGGUUAGUACCUGGAUGGGAGACUGCUUGGGAAUACCAGGUGCUGUAAGCUU
rnacentral:rRNA from 1 species